CCUACGGGGGCUGCCGUGGGGAAUAUUGGGCAAUGGGCGCAAGCCUGACCCAGCCACGCCGCGUGAGGGAAGAAGGCUUUCGGGUUGUAAACCUCUAUCCUUGGUGACGAAAAAAAUGACGGUAGCCAAGAAGGAAGCCCCGGCUAACUACGUGCCAGCAGCCGCGGUAAUACGUAGGGGGCGAGCGUUGUCCGGAAUUACUGGGCGUAAAGGGUGCGUAGGUGGCCUUUUAAGUUGGAUGUGAAAUACCCGGGCUUAACUUGGGGGGUGCAUCUAAUACUGGAGGGCUAGAGUGCAGGAGAGGGAAGCGGAAUUCCUAGUGUAGCGGUGAAAUGCGUAGAUAUUAGGAGGAACACCAGUGGCGAAGGCGGCUUUCUGGACUGUAACUGACACUGAGGCACGAAAGCGUGGGGAGCAAACA
rnacentral:rRNA from 1 species